CAGAAAUUAAAUUAAAAAGAGUCAUAAAUAUAAGUGAUUGUGAAUCACAUAAAAUUGAUGAACAAAUUGAAAGAGCCAAAUAAGUAUAGUAAAACAAAUUUGGUGUAUCUGCAACUUCUUCUGUGUUUAUCCAUGGCUUAUAUAUUAUUCUAGACCAUAUUAAUAACAAACAAAAAAAUAAUGACAGUAUUAAUUUUAAUGGUAAUAUUAUAGUUAGAAAUUUAAGUGGGGAUUUUCCUUUGUAAACAAAUUUAGUCAUAAUAAACGGAGUAAUAAAACUGAAUGGAAUCAAGAUUGGUCCAAUAAGCAUAAUUUCACUCUUUUUCAUACCAAAUUCCAUUAAUUUAAAUUCCAAAGAUGAAUCUGUUAUUGCUGAUGGUAUCCUAAUAAUAAAGAGCAAAAUUAUUAGUGAAAUAACUGGUUUUAAUGUUAAAAUUUUAUAUAGAAGAGAAUAAGCUUCUUUAAUAGUAAGCUCAGCUUCUUGAUCCUCUUGAGCAGCAUCAUCAUCUUUUUUAUUAUCUAUUACGUUUGUGUAAGAGUUAUCUUCUUUUUUAAGUAUUCCAGUAAUUAUAGUAACCAAUAAUAUAACUACACCCCAGAAAUAGAUAAAUUGACUCAUUUUACAAAUUGGCUUGUCAACAAUUUCUAAUCCAAGUAAAGGACGAACAUAUUUAUUACAUACUUUUGGAUCAUUUAAGAAUAAAAAUCCCAAAUAAGACGUAAUGUGUCCAAAAGAUUGACCAAUUAUAUUACAAGUUGAUGCUAAACUUUUAUGCUGAGGAGAAAGUAAAUUUACUGCCCAAGCAUCAACUGCAAUAUCUUGAGUAGCCAUUAAAAAGUAUAAUGUUGAAAAAUAUAUUGUUAAUAAAGUAACGUUUGGUGAUAAUUUCUCCGUUAAAUUUGAUAUACCUACUUCCUCACAUAACCAAGUUGGAAGAAAUGGGCUAUAACUACCAAUAAUCAUCAAAAUACUACACACAAGUUGAGUUGGAAUAAUCCAUGUUUUUCUUCUUCCCAUCUUUUCUAUAUAAACUGAAUCUACCAAAGGAGCCCAAAGUAAUUUAAGUGAGAAAGGAAGUACAACCAUUCCAAACAUACUCUGUUCUGUAUAUGAUAUUUUACCUUGUAAAAGAAAUGGAAUGGAAUAACUAAUGCCCAUAGGAAGACCUUGAAUUGUAUAUAAUAUUAAAAGAUAAAAAAUAUUUAAACAUUCCAGAAGAUCCAUUUUUGAACAAGUUUUUUUUCUUCUAUAAAUUAAUUAUAUUAUUAAUUAAAAUAAAAAAGUACAAAAUUUAAAAGAAUAAUUCUCAAAGUAUUUCGUUAAUAC
rnacentral:antisense_RNA from 1 species